rnacentral:lncRNA from 1 species
GCCAGUGCUUACCUGUUCCCUCGGUAUACAGGGCAGGGAGGUCCUCCGAUGGGACUUGCUGCUGCAGCCGGACAUCUCGGCGGACACGACGGAGCUGGACCGCCUCCUCCUCUUAAACACCGGGAUAUCUUCCUUGGUCCCAGCAAUCAGCUGGGACCCCAAAUGCUCCCUUGGAGCCGCCUCCGCGGACUGCGGCAAGAUUUGUUCCACGUACCUGGCCAAGAGGAUCCCCAGCACGCCGGCCAGGUACGCCAGGUAAGGUCUCCAGGCGACCUUGAACCUCUCUAAGGAAAUGAGGGACACGGUCCUGACCGCGCUAGUCAAGGCGAUCAUGAGGACGCCCAGCCUCAGCCUCAGCACCAGCCAUGUCGCGGCGGCCAAGCAGCUGAGCACCACCCCCGCGGCGGGGAGUGAGAACCUUACUAAAAAGUCAAUAUUCCUACCCAACUGGAUCAAGAUUGUAGAACACAAGGAUGCAUCCUUAACCUUAUAAAAAUGCCUUGGAAUUUUUAAUGAGCAGAAGUGGUCAGAACCUCAGUCAUACGUCUCAUCCAAUAGAUGGUUCUCCUGUAGCUCAGUGCUCCAUAACCCAGGCUGAAGUUGGCUCAGCACCACCCUGGGAUGGAAGAGGGCCACCUACUGAAUCACCGCCACCACAUCCUGCAGCAUCCUCCAUCCAAGUCUUUCCUGGGCCCACCCCUGCUGAACUCCCAAGGUCAGAAGAGAUCACAGCUUUAGAGCAUUUCAUUACAAAUUUUAAAUUUCCAGUCUCUGGUUUUCAUAUUGCAUUUCAAGAUCAACAUCCUUAUUAGUAGUCGUAUAUUUUUUAUUUUGAAAUUUUAUAACACCUUGUCCACUGGGAAAUUCCAAGCAGGCUACUGAACCUCGUUACCACACAGGCAGAAAUCCGCAUAACACCCCUGUGAAGGAGGUGUUAAAUGACAGAGAGAGAGAGGGAGCGCACACCAUCACCUACUCUUACAAAAGUCCAAUCCUUAAUAAUUAAUGAAUGAAAAGACAUCUUGAGUCCAGUGGUCACUGGGAGUAAUUGGCGUAUAUUUUCUCAGCUGCCUCUAAAUGAAAAUGGCAAUAAUUUAACCAAUAUAUUUGGGCCGACAGCUAGGCUAAAUUCAGUUCUCUUUUGCACCCAAGCAGUAGAACUAAGUGGGAUCUGAACAGACUACUCUCUGUUACCACCUGAUUGUGGAAAACUCACAUGUGGUGCUCAGCAACUGAGUAUUUCAAGUCCUGCUCACAUUUACAAUGUCUUUUUCUAUCCUCGGUUAAAAGGUCCUGAAAAUUGGGAGGACACAAGGUUACAUUUGUUUUAUACCUUUUCUCUGUCCUCAAUCCUUCCUUAUGUAAAAACUUCUGGUGUUUAAAUGAUAAUAUAAGAGGUUACUUCGAGUGAUAAAAUCAAGAGUCCAGCUAUCAAGAUGAAAUUACAUAACAUAAAUGUAUAGUUCAUAGUAUAGAUUGGUGGUUAUCAGCCUCAUAUUGAAUGCCUCCUUUUAUAACAAAUAUUUUAUAAUAUCACUGUAGCAGAUGCUAUCGGUUCCCUUCCUGUAUUCCCUAGGCCAUACACACCAGUGACAUCCUAUUUCUGGUCUCUGCUCAGGGCCUUCUGGCUGCUGAGAGUACUUGGCUCACACACAUUGUGGCAGUCCAGAAGAUGAUAGAUAGCCUGACAGAAUAUAAAAUGACCUCAUACAGCUUCAGACAAUUGGGAGGAGAGGGUGCUUGGGGCAGAUCUUUCACCUAGGAACACAGCGUUUCACUAUACCCAAAACUUUGGAUGUUGCCUAAACAUAUUGGGCAUCACGUGCCAGUAGACUAGCAAGCAAAGGAGUUACUAUACUGAUUUUCAUGACCAGAUAGGGUUACUGCUGCACAAUCAAGAUAGGGAAAAUAUGACUGAAACUCAGAUAAUUCAUGGAGGUGCCCUACUGUGGUUUGGAUCUAUGUCCCCACCCAAAUCUCAUGUCAAACUGUAAUCAUCAGUGUUGGAGAUGGGGCCUGGUGGGACGUGAUGGAUCAUGGGGUCAGAUCCUUCAUAAAUAGUUUAUCACCAUCUGUUCUCCUGAUAGAGUUCUCAUGAGAUCUGGUUACUUAAACGUGUGUAGCACCUCCCCUCACUCUGUCUUGCUCCUGCUUCCACCGUGUGAGAUGCCUCACUCCCCCUGUGCCUUCUGCCAUGAUUGGAAGCUUCCUAAGGCCUCCCCAGAAGUAAAAGCUGCUCUGCUUCUUGUACAGUCUGCAAAACCAUGAGCCAAUUAAACCUCUCUUCUUUAUAAAUGUCCCAGUCCCAAGUAUUUCUUUAAAGCAAUGUGAGGACAGACUAAUACAUACCCCUUGGUGCUUCCAUCCCAAGGAAUAAUCUGAUAAGAACAGGGCAAGUUAGAAUCCAGAGGUUUCAUGGAUCUAGGUCUGUGUUACCCAACUAGGCCAAUGACUUAGGCCAAUAGAAGUCCUGGCUGAGAGUAAAGGUGAAGAGACUCUAGAGUGGGGGCAGAAGAGGAAGCUGAGAAAUAUCACCUAUAGGCGAUAUUUCUAUUUGUCUUAGAAAUUGUGUGUGUGUGUGUGUGUGCGUGUGAGUGUGUGUGUGUGUGAAGUGGGUGGGGACUGGGUAUCCCUUUGUAGAAUGAGUAACAGAGCAGAUUAACUUAAAGCAGGGCGUGAAUGGAUCUGGAUGAUCCAGCAGGUGGACUGUAGCGGAUGACGGUAGUGCUCCCAUCAUCAGCCCUCACUUUCCCUGUAAAUGCCUACAACCCUUUCUGCAAACACUUGUGCCUCCUUGUCUACAGGGAGCUUCUAAGGAAGCUCCCAGACCCCAGUAAUGCAAAGUAAAGUGACAUAGUGCUUAUGUAAGUCUGGAACAGCUUUUACUUUAAAAACUGUGCUCCUUGUCUUGUGCAUAAGAACACUGUACACUUGUAUACCUCUCUGUGUGCUUCAGAACCUCUCUGUGACCCAUCAGUCUACACAACACUGCAUAUCCCAGUCUCCAACCAGUGGUUUUUGGCUCCUUCCUCACUGGAGUGCUCCAUUCAAUAAAAUGUCUUAUCUACUGUCUCAA